rnacentral:rRNA from 1 species
AGCGAACGCCAGCGGCGGGCCUAACACAUGCAAGUCGAACGCGUGCCUUCGGGUACGAGUGGCGGACGGGUGAGUAACACGUAGGUAUCUGCCCUUCGGUGGGGGAUAACCCGGGGAAACUCGGGCUAAUACCGCAUAUGGUCUACGGAUCAAAGCCUUCGGGCGCCGGGGGAUGAGCCUGCGGCCCAUUAUUUAAUCCUAGUUGGCGGGGUAAUGGCCCACCAAGGGUACGAUGGGUAGCUGGUCUGAGAGGAUGAUCAGCCACACUGGAACUGAGACACGGUCCAGACUCCUACGGGAGGCAGCAGUGGGGAAUAUUGCGCAAUGGGGCGGAAGCCUGACGCAGCCACGCCGCGUGGGUGAUGAAGGCCUU